UUUGUUGAACAGAAAUCACAAAGCUCUAUGAAUUUACCAUAUUCAUUUUCUUCUUGUUAUCAAAUUUCUAAAUCGUUCUCAAUUUGGUGAUCCAUUGCCUUUUCUACUUCCUUUCGCAAUCAAAAUUCAACCCGGCAACAGCAAAAAGCUGACCUUGAAGUUUCCCAUUUUUUUAGUUUCAAACUUUUCCUUCUUCCUCCAUUAAUGCAUUUUCUUUAGUUGGGAUUUAGAAUAAAACAAAGGUUUCCUGCUGUUUUGGUCAAAGAUUCAAUACAGAUCCCAGAACGUGGGACUUCUUUAAGUCCAAUCGUGGAACCAUUAUCAGACUUCUUUUACAGCUCUUUUCUAUCCAAGUUGAGUAGCCAACAAUCAAAUAUUAUUUUCAUAUUAAUAUUUGGAUUUCUAACGGGUCAAAGAUUCAUUUCUUCCGCUGAAAAUGUUCCAGUAAAAGCUGCUUUUUUCUCCUCUUUGCCCAUUCUAUUCACUUAUAAUAAUCUGGCACUUUCUUUGCUAAUUUUUCUGCCAUGGGUUUUCUGUCAUCAACUUGUUAUUCUAACUGUAAUAUCGCAAAUGAAGUCAUCUUGGUCAAAGUUUUUGGAUGCAUAUCAUAUUCAAGAGACAUAAAGUGUCUAAUUACGUGGUUAUAAUAUUCACUCCAAGUACCUUUCUGAAACUUUUCCCUCAAUUUGGGCAGUUUUUUACCUUUAAUACGGCAAAUGGGCCCUCAACUUUGAUCAGCAAUGGCAGAGUGCUGUGCUCUGUCGUCUUCAUCUCUUCACCAAAAGUUGCAUAAUAUGACAAGCGCGCACUUGGAUAUCUGAUGUUUCAUCAAGCGGCUAGACAUUAUUCCAGUGACCAGCGUUUUUCUCAGAACAUGCGGAGACGCUCGCCGAUAGACAUAGUCUUGGCCGGCGCCUUUGUUGUGUUGUAAUUACCAAGUCUAAGUCCAAGUGCAGGACAGUCCCAAUCCAAGUCCCAACCUGCUCAACAAGUCCCUAUACUAUUCGAGCAAUGUUAUGUGUAUAUUGGGUAUAACUUUAUUAUUAAUUUAAAAUCAUCUAAUCACAUAAUAAUAUAUUAUUUUUAUAUUUAUCUGUAUAUUAAAAAAAUAUGAAGAAAUUGUUUUAUUGAUCUGAUUCACUCUACCAUUUGUUUUCAUAUUGAGCAUGUGGAGACGCAGACAGGUAUUUACUUAUUGCAUGUUUAAAUUGACUAUGUAAUUUCUCGAUUUUCAUAGUCUCUGACGGUGGCCUUGUUGUCUUUGUAAUUGCCAAGUCCAAGUCUGGACCCGUCCAACAAGUCUGAGUGUAGAACAUGCGAUGCAACUCACUCCACCAAUUGUUUUCAACUUGAAGCUCACUCUUUGGAAAAAUCUGUAAGCAAAAUCAAACACGCAAAAGCAUAUACGCUUCUGAAUAGUCAUUUAGUCCAAAGGGUAGCCGUCGGUCAUACGCCCAUAAAUAUGAACUUAAAAGUCCUGAAAAUACACGGAAAUGUUGCAAUACUUUACCCCUUUUU